ACGUGAAACCGUUUAGGGGUAAACCUGAGAGACCCGGAAGAUCGAAUAGGGAGACUCAUCGUCAACGAGGUCUAUCGCUGUGCGGUUUGGCGAUGACGAUAGGGGGUUGGUCCUUUGAAUCACGCAAUCGCUUUUGGUGUAUACGACCGCGUCGGCGUGCACUUCUCCCUUAGUAGAACGUCGCGACCCGUUGGGUGUCGAUCAUUACGUGCCGAGAUCGUCGACUGUCCCGAAUCCGUUCGGUGUCAGACGCUUGGUGUAACCGAUCGACUGCUCGACGGUAGAACGAAAUGGUAUCGAGCCGCAAUUUGAAUGCGUUCAGGCUCGUCGCAAGCUUUUAGAUCACUAUUGAAAGUCCCUGGAGGCGCGGACACAUAGGCCAGCCUCGGGGGUGGUCGGCUGUUGGCGUACGAUGUCCUCGAACCGGCUAAAUUUGUUAUAAAUAAACGAUACCGGUCGGCGACGCUAUUGCUUCGGGUACUUUCAGGACCCGUCUUGAAACACGGACCAAGGAGUCUAACAUGUACGCGAGUCAUUGGGAUGUUGAAACCUAAAGGCGUAUUGAAAGAGAAGAUCGACCUUUCGCGUCGAUCGAGGGAGGAUGGGCAACUCGUUAGCGAAGUUGCCCCGCACUCCCGGGGCGUUUCGAAGUCAUUGCGACUUGAGGCGCACCAAGAGCGUACACGUUGGGACCCGAAAGAUGGUGAACUAUGCCUGGUCAGGACGAAGUCAGGGGAAACCCUGAUGGAGGUCCGUAGCGAUUCUGACGUGCAAAUCGAUCGUCGGAACUGGGUAUAGGGGCGAAAGACUAAUCGAACCAUCUA
rnacentral:rRNA from 1 species